GUGCCGGCUCUCAGAGACCCCCCUCCCUCUGCCCUCUCGAGCCUCCUCUGGUUGGCAUCUGGAGCUCUGCCCUGAGCAGAUGGGGGUGGGGGUGACAGAGAAAGCCAGGUUGCAGCUGACGGAAUUUGCUGUUGGCAGAGACUGCCUGCUGCCAGACAAGGUUGUGUCUGUUCCACAAAAGCCCAGCUCCCUCUGCCAGGAGCUCUUGGCACCGGAGGUCACCAAGCCCGCUGUGGGGCCUACCUACGCCAUCAACAGUGAUGAUGUCUCAUGUAUGAAUAAUGCCUUGACAGAGCGUUUCUCAACUCCUUCCUGCAAAGAAGGGAUCAGAGAGUCUAGGGGGAAGGAUGUGCGGAGAAGCAGCUGAGCUAACAUGAGCUUCAUCUGCUGAAGGUGCUGAUGAGCUAACGUGUGGAAUGCGGAGGACCGAGCAGUUCACAGGAGGCCACUGGGCUGCACACCCUCUGAGAGCAGGACUUAGUGACUUCUGCUGUCUGGCGGAUCUUCUGUCCUCGAGCACCACCACCACUGGCCAGCGGGUCGGGUGGUGUGUAGAUGUUUACGGCGGACCUUCCAGCGAGGGUCCCGUGGGAUGAGAGGAUACUUCCUCGUUCCUUUACUGGGUUACAGCCCAAGAACCGGAAUGGCUGGAACCAGAUGGCGUCCGAGCCCUCACCGGUCCAGGAGCCAGGGGCUGAAACACUGUCUCUGCCCAGGACCAUGGUGUACACAAUGCAUUUGUACUGGAAUCCUGAAGUGUCCCCCAAAACGCAGCUCAAGUAACCAUCCCCCCCACUGCGCCCCAACAGGGCUCUGUUCAGUAUAGGGUCAUGUUGGCAGAAGCAAGCCAUUCAAAUAACACUAAUUAAAGUAAUUCCAAUAUUGGAUCAGUUUUCUCAUAAAACAUUAAAGGAAAUAGAAUUGUAAGCAGUAACAGCCUUCUCUUUAAAAAAAAAAAAAAAACUUAAAAAAAAUCAAUAAACAACUUUCCCAA
rnacentral:lncRNA from 1 species